UUAUUUUUGAAUCGCGUUAUCCAUUCAGUCCUCCUUCGCUUCUCUUCUCUUUGUUCUCGCGCUGUGUCGCAGAGGUGGAUCCAUGGCGGAGAACGGCGGGGGUUCGCCGCAUCCUGCCCGUCCUGCCCCUGAUGCGGCUUGUGGUGCGUGGACGGCAUGUCCUCCUCGCUCGGCGGAGAUGCGGGCAGUUCCUGCGGGGACGCAUCGUCACGCUCGCUCCCUCGCUGGUGUCGGGUUGACGCCGCGAGCGGAGAUGGGGGAGGUUGCCGCUCGCACCCUUCGCCCUCAAUCUGGGAAGAUGUCCGGUACUAUCGAGCGCGGAAGGCAAGUUCGACGCCGGCGACAUGGUUAAUUUCUCUCGGUGUUACUUCUCCCGCGUUUGCUGUUUGUAGAAUUUGAUGUCUCGAUUUCACUGGAAUUAGGGGAUUCCUGGCUCGAUUUCAUAAAGCACGUGGCACACUAUGUAUGUGGUCAUGUGUGGUCAGUGCUAUCAUGUUCAUCUGUCGGGUUUGUUGAUGUUGAUUUGGACGUAGUUAGAUGUGCUCAUUCUGGAUCCAUUGUAUGAAAUUUAUGAUUCGCUGUGAAGUUGGAGAUGUUUCUAGCCUAUGGUAUGAAGUUCAUCUUCAGGUUUUUGUUGAUGUUUGAUUGGAUGUAGGCAGAUUUGCUCAUUCAGGAUCCAUUCUAUGAAAUUUAAGAUGCGGUGUGUAGUUGGAUAUGUUUUUAACCUGCGCUCUGAAGGUCAUCUGCAAGGUUUCGUGAUUAUUAUUGGAGGUAGCCAGAUGGGGGUUUCUAUUACAAGGGGAGUGAUGAGUAUGAGUUUGAUUCUGAGUUAGAUAGCUUUUAGCUUGUUGAUUAUAUUAGGCUUUAGUUGAUUUUCAGGUUUUACGAUUAAAUUGGCUGUACAACACAUGCAAGUUUCCCCGGAUCUGGAUCCACCUGUCUAGAUUAUAGCACAGCUAUACUACUUCGUCCAUGUUGCUGGUGCUUCAGGUAAUCAACAUUGCUAAUACUUAUGCAUGUUAUUGUUGCAUCACAUAAGUCUCCACUGCGUUGUGUAAAUUCUAUUAGUACUACAUGAGUGCUCAUUCUGUUUCUUGUCUGGUUUGUGAAGAUGAUGAUGCACAUGUCCAUGUGGUUUGCUUAAUGUUAUGUAGUGUCUGUGUUAGGAUUUCCUGCAGGUUUUCAUACGCCACCUCUCAUGGAAUCACUCAUGUGAUGUCCAAUGCCUGUCUUGGCAGAUGCAAGUCUAAAUUUAGUAGCUCAAUGAGUUGCCCACUAUGUUUCUGUUAACAAGCCUUGUGGCAUUCUUACAUGUGCACUAUCUGAAUCUUAGGCAGUGUGUAAAUUUUCUCUACACAUGUAUUAUUACUUCUUAUCAUGGAAUCUCCUGGCAGCCGGACUGCAUUUUUUGUGUGAUAGCCUUUGUUACCGUCUUUUAUAUCGAUCCACUAUGUAUAUAUAGGAGAUGCACACCCAUGUUAAAUACAUCAUGGUGAGUUAUGUAUGUGAUCCUCUGAGUUGAUCUUUUUUCGUCUCUGAGUUUUAAUUCUAUGAGAUUCUUAGAUUAUUCAGAAUCUCAGACUGAGUUUUAAUUCUAUGAGAUUCUUAGAUUAUUCAGAAUCUCAGACUGAGUUUUAAUUCUAUGAGAUUCUUAGAUUAUUCAGAAUCUCAGAUUGUUCAGUUAAAGUUCCUUAGUUUAGUCUCUGAGUUAUCACAUUUUGAUUUCUUCAGUCAAAUUUUCUCAGUUUGUCUCAGUUCAUAUUUGCUCAGUAUAAGUUGCUCAGUUAAAGUUUCCUAGUUUAAAUUUCUUCAGUUUUUGAAUGAUUCAGUUAAUAUUUAAUCAUUUUAAAAAACAUUUGCUCAGUUAGUUAUUUUCUCAGUUAAUCUCAGCUUUGCUCAGUUUAUUUUCUCAUAUUUGCUCAGGUUAAGUUUCUCAGUUAAAAUUUCUCAAUUCUUGUUUUCUCAGUUUCAUAUUUUCAUUUCUUCGGUUUAUGUUGCUCAGUAUGUCAGUUAAUAUUGAGCCUUUAGUUCUUCAAUUAUAAUUCUCUCAGUCUCUGAGUUUUAAUUCGCUCUGUUUGCAUUCCAGGUCCCCUUGUAUUCCUCGCCGAUCAGAUCCACCCCGACCUACAGUCAUCUUUUAUUCAUUUUGUCAGUCAUAAUUUUUCUUUUUGGUUUUAAGUCUUCAGUCUCCUCAUUCAUUUAUUUCAUUAUAUUUUUUUUCUGUUGUCAUCAGUCAUCAUUCACUCAUUCAUAUGUAGUUAUUUUUAGUAAUUUCUCAAGUCUUUAAUUGUCACUUUUAUGUGUUCAUGAGUCUUCAAUUCCUUCCUCACAUGGCGCAGCCUUCCAAGCAACCGGCCAUUUGUAGAUCCGGCCAUUUCUAGUCUCCAAUUCCUCUUUCUUCUUUCUAUCUUUCUUCAGUACCUCAGCACCUCAGCCUCUAAGUUUUACUUUUAUUUAGCCUUAGGUCAUCAGUAUUGUCCUAGUAUUAUUCCCUACCUAAAUUUGUCUUCCUCCUUGAGUUUCGUCCACCACUAAAUAUUUUAUCUGUGUUAACUUUCAGUUUUCAUUCCGAAUAUGCAGAUAUGGUGCCAUUUGUGUGGUUUGCCCGGCAUCCUUUACCAGCGGAAAGAGUGUUCUUUCUUCAGUAAUUUUCUUCUUUUGUAUUUCUCUCAAUCUUUUUCUUCAAAUUCUUAUUUCUUGCAUCCCUCACUUUCUCUUUGUCGAGUAUCUUCAAAAGUGUUACUGUUUUUUCUUUAUUAUCUCAUUUCUUUUAAUGUUUCAGUCCUCUGGUUACUUUGUCCUCUCGGCUGUUGAUUGGCUAACCCCUAUGUCUCUUCCCCACGUUACUUCCUCCACUGAGAAUAGAUAUUCGCUUCAUUGUAUUUCCUUUUUCUGCACCUUUUCAGUUUGCAGCGGGUUAAGAUGUGACAUUUUCUUUAAUCUCUUAGUUUAAAUUCUGUUAGUUUUUCACUUAUUUUAUUUUUUAGUGUAAAUUUCUCAAGGAUCCACUCCAACAUACGGCUUGAGGAGUUCUAAGUGACCAGUGACUCUGCUUGAGUAUUCCUAAGGGAUUUUCCAUGCUAAACCGUACCCAGAUAGUAUUUGCUACACUCUGUCAUAAUGUCUAGCACUAUGCAUACGUCCCAGAAUUAACUAGUUCUUUUCAUCCAGAAGUUUAUUUGCAGUCUCUCUCUUCCAUUGUUGGUAUAGGCCCCUUUGUGUCUAUCUGUCCUUUAUUGGUAUAGAGCCCUUGUGUCUAUCUAUCCUUUAUUUGCAGUCUCAGUGUAAUUGCUGAAGCGAUAUAUGUGUUUCCACCUGUAGGUUUAUUACACAAUUACGCAUGGGGUCUAUUGUCUCAUUUCUUCAAAGAAGAACAUUUUCUUAAAAGCCAGGAUGGAUCGAGUAUCACUGUAGAGUGUGUGCAUCUUCUGCCCUAGAACGAAAAAAUCUUCAAAAAAUGAAGAUCCAGAGAGGAGGGACUUCUUGGAAGUAGUGGUUGAAAGAAGUGGUUCGAGCACAUGAACUGUUUUGCUUGCUGGAGAAGAAGGUCGAACAGGUACAAGAUGCACGUGAGCUUUUUACUGAUUAUGGGAUUUCCUCUGUAAUGGGUUUUUCAGAACUCAACAUUGACUCAACUCAGAAAUCAAUGGGACUCAAACACAUGCCGUGUAACGAAAAUGUAUCUGUUUUGCUAGACUGAAACAGACCGUUUUUGAUUAAUUGAGUUGUUUUGUCUGGUGUACAGUUGUCACCAUUUGAUUGUUACUAAAAAAGUGUCUGUUCCCCAAUUGAAAAACAGACGCAUGUUAGAUAGUCACUCCCAAAAA